rnacentral:rRNA from 1 species
CACGGGGGGAGCAAGCGUUGUUCGGAAUUACUGGGCGUAAAGGGCUCGUAGGCGGCCAACUAAGUCGGACGUGAAAUCCCCAGGCUCAACCUGGGAACUGCGUCCGAUACUGGAUGGCUUGAAUCCGGGAGAGGGAUGCAGAAUUCCAGGUGUAGCGGUGAAAUGCGUAGAUAUCUGGAGGAAUACCGGUGGCGAAGGCGGCAUCCUGGACCGGCAUUGACGCUGAGGAGCGAAAGCCAGGGGAGCAAACGGG